rnacentral:lncRNA from 1 species
UCCUCUUCUAAAACAGUAUAUUCCAUUUUUAAUAAAGGCCUUCCUAGGGUACUAUGCCUAACAAAUCCCAGUGUCUUAAUUUCAGGUCCGAACCAAGAAAAUAAUUCUUGAUAGGCAAUCUCUUUUUCUGCCUGAGUUUGGUAAUGGCAGAAGCCAUACGAAAGCAUAAAGUUUCCAAAAGUACCCCGGCAUGGAAUCAAAGGACAGGGAGGGAGAAACGGGACUGAAACAAACAGCAAGUGAAAGAAACGAUUUCCAAAAGGAAACUGAAUGCGCCAUAAUCAAGGGUAGCUAGACCUAUAAAUAUGGAACAUGUUGACCUAGCCUGCAUCUGUUUAAAGCAUAUUAUACAAUUGUUUGUAUGCCUUUUUCUACAUUUUUUAAACGAAGAUCAAGAAUAUAGAUUUAGGAGGACUCUAAUUCCAACUUGUCAAGGACGAAGAGAUGAAAUGUGAAAACUGCCUGACAACAGGCAGAUAUCUGUGCACCAAGAAAUGAUAUUCACUACUCACUUUGUGAAUCAGAUGUCUAAAAUUACGGCUUCCAUGGCAGUGAUGGGCAUUUGAGGCAAUUUGUCUACAAAAGAAUCUCAGAUAAGCAUCUUUAAUAAAACUCAUGUC